UACGGAGGGUGCAAGCGUUAUCCGGAUUCACUGGGUUUAAAGGGUGCGUAGGUGGGCUUGUAAGUCAGUGGUGGAAUCUCCGGGCUUAACCCGGAAACUGCCAUUGAUACUAUAGGUCUUGAAUUAUCUGGAGGUCAGCGGAAUAUGUCAUGUAGCGGUGAAAUGCUUAGAUAUGACAUAGAACACCAAUUGCGAAGGCAGCUGGCUACAGGUAUAUUGACACUGAGGCACGAAAGCGUGGGGAUCAAACAGG
rnacentral:rRNA from 1 species